CACGUAGGGGGCGAGCGUUGUCCGGAUUUAUUGGGCGUAAAGAGCUCGUAGGCGGUCUGUCGCGUCGGAUGUGAAAACCCAGGGCUCAACCCUGGGCCUGCAUUCGAUACGGGCAGACUAGAGUUCGGUAGGGGAGACUGGAAUUCCUGGUGUAGCGGUGAAAUGCGCAGAUAUCAGGAGGAACACCGGUGGCGAAGGCGGGUCUCUGGGCCGAAACUGACGCUGAGGAGCGAAAGCGUGGGGAGCAAACAGG
rnacentral:rRNA from 1 species